rnacentral:rRNA from 1 species
GACGAACGCUGGCGGCGUGCCUAAUACAUGCAAGUUGAGCGCUGAAGGUUGGUACUUGUACCGACUGGAUGAGCAGCGAACGGGUGAGUAACGCGUGGGGAAUCUGCCUUUGAGCGGGGGACAACAUUUGGAAACGAAUGCUAAUACCGCAUAAAAACUUUAAACACAAGUUUUAAGUUUGAAAGAUGCAAUUGCAUCACUCAAAGAUGAUCCCGCGUUGUAUUAGCUAGUUGGUGAGGUAAAGGCUCACCAAGGCGAUGAUACAUAGCCGACCUGAGAGGGUGAUCGGCCACAUUGGGACUGAGACACGGCCCAAACUCCUACGGGAGGCAGCAGUAGGGAAUCUUCGGCAAUUGACGAAAGUCUGACCGAGCAACGCCGCGUGAGGGAAGAAGGGUUUCGGAUCGGAAAACUCUGUUGGUAGAGAAGAACGUUGGUGAGAGUGGAAAGCUCAUCAAGUGACGGUAACUACCCAGAAAGGGACGGCUAACUACGUG